rnacentral:rRNA from 1 species
GACGAACGCUGGCGGCGUGCUUAACACAUGCAAGUCGAACGGAAAGGCCCCUUUGGGGGUACUCGAGUGGCGAACGGGUGAGUAACACGUGAGUAACCUGCCCUUGACUCCGGGAUAACUUCAGGAAACUGGGGCUAAUACCGGAUAGGAAUCCUUGCUGCAUGGUGGGGGUUGGAAAGCUUCGGCGGUUUUGGAUGGACUCGCGGCUUAUCAGCUUGUUGGUGGGGUAGUGGCUUACCAAGGCUUUGACGGGUAGCCGGCCUGAGAGGGCGACCGGCCACAUUGGGACUGAGAUACGGCCCAGACUCCUACGGGAGGCAGCAGUGGGGAAUAUUGCACAAUGGGCGGAAGCCGGAUGCAGCAACGCCGCGGGCGGGAUGACGGCCUUCGGGUUGUAAACCGCUUUCAGCAGGGGCGAAGCUUGUGGUGACGGUACCUGCAGAAGAAGCACCGGCUAACUACGUG